CUCUAGUUAUGAUCUUUAGAAAACAAGAUGUCUUUUAGGAGUGAUGGAAGGAGAGUUCUAUCCCAAAAGGAGAACCUUACAUUUUUUUUUUCUUAUAGGUCUUUCUAAAUGCUGACGAUUAGGUUCUUCCCACAGAAGACUGAAAUAGAGAAGACUAUUGAAAAGACUUAUUUCUUGUGACAUCUCAAUGAAAGGUUUGCACUGAAGAUUUUGGAAGACAGAUGAAUCCUUUAACAGCUUGUACCAGGCAUCUGCCAGUCUGAAGCAUCUACUGAAGUACUUUUUAAGGAUGUGUAUGUUUGUAUUCCGAGCUGUCAUAAAAAUGUCAUUGCUGCUGUUUUCCCUAUCCCUUUGCCCGGUGCGUCAUGGAACUGGGCCGAACCAGCCCGUAAACCGUUGACACCACUGAAAAAAAAAAAAAUAAUAAAUCUUUGAAGACCCUCAUUCAUGAUGCUGAAUGUAAUAAGAAAGAAUAAAUGAAAUACGUGUUAGUCUUGAUGCCUCAUGUCUGAUGAAAUAUCUGAAAGUAUUUCCUCAUUGUGAAACAAUGCAAAUAAAUGUUAUCCUAUUAAAUGGCCAGAGAAGUAAAAACAUAAAGUUAAAAAUCCCCAGAUACAAGCCGCAGUGAGGAGGCCUGGAAUAAUAUAUACAUAAUUCUAAUCAAGCUAAUGUAAGAUAUUAUAAACAAAAAAUCUUGUAAUACAGAAUCAGAGUAUGAUUUGGGCUAAAAGGGACAUUAAAGAACAUCUAGUUUUUCAAAAUUGUUUAUAUUCAGGUGACAUAAUAUAUAAGACAUCAGAUAAGACAUCACAUCAUAUCACCUGUGUUAGUAGGUUUACCACAACUGCAAUUAAUGUUAGAGUUUUCCGAAUUUCUGAAUUUGUUUAGUAUUUCUAUUAUAUUUGAGACUAGUAUAGUGUUUUAUCAGAAUCAUCAGCAAUAGUUUGCAUACAUGCUGUCUAAAGAAAUAUGGUACAUGCAGAUCAGAGAGUAGGCAAUUUAAUAAAGUAAGCAAUUUAAUAGAAUAAAUAAAUAAAUAAAAUUAAUAAAUCAAGAGUUAUGUUUUCUAUUUAUGGAUUUCCUAUAAUUGAAUAUAGGCAUCAUAAUACCUCUGGUGUAUGGUGUAUGUAUUAUUUGAGAUUACUCAGAUCCUUCUGAAAAAUGACCAUUUUGUAACUUUUCUAUGAAC
ensembl:lncRNA